GACAGCCAGACAGGCAGGCAGGCAGGCAGGCAGCCUCUCACUACAGCCAACACCACUCACCACCGCAGUCACAGCAGCAUCUCAUGCCUCCACCUGCUCCGGGAUAGACAGCCGUCCAUCUGUCCGUCCGUCCGUCCGUCCGGUCAAGCAGCCAGUGAGGUGGAAGCCUGAAGCGUCCAGGUGAAGAUGCUGGAAAACGGCAGGAAGGUGUUCAAGGAGGGUCUGCUGGAGAAGCGGAGCGACGGGCUGCUGCAGCUCUGGAAGAAGAAGCACUGCGUCCUGACCGAGGACGGCGUGCUGCUGCUGCCGCCCAAGCAGCACGACCCGCCGCAUCACCACCAGCCGCACCACGGCGGCGGGGACGCGGGCAAAGUCAAGGAGCUGCACUUCGCCAACAUGAAGACGGUGGAUUGCGUGGAGCGGAAGGGCAAGUACGUGUACUUCACCGUGGUCAUGACGGAGGGGAAGGAGAUCGACUUCAGGUGCCCGCAGGACGAGGGCUGGAACGCGGAGAUCACCUUGCAGAUGGUCCAGUACAAGAACCGGCAGGCGAUCCUGGCCGUCAAGUCCACCCGGCAGAAGCAGCAGCUGCUCGUGGUGCAGAUGCCCGGCCAGAAGGCGAUCCGCAGCUCGCCAAACGUGGCGUGACCUGCGGCGAGUCCCGCGGACAGUGGCGCGCCAUUAGCGGUAAGACAGCUGCAGAGAAAGCCAGAUUGAGGGGGGUCCCCAGGUCCGGGACCACCUGGGGACCCCCUUGCAAAUUAAGGACCCAGUUUUCGUUUUUUGUUUAAUCCCUGGAUGUGCGUGCCAUGAAUGAGGACGUCUGUAUUCAUCGCAUCUCGCAGUCCCCCCUCACAAAUCAAACCCUGAGCGAAAAUCAUAUCCAUGAAGGGGACAAAAUGUGGAUUUAUUGUGGCUUACAGAAAAGUUUGGGAGCUCAUGCUGUAGGCCUGCCGAUCUGUGUCCGAAGUACCCCGCAGGAUAUCCAUUCCCAGCAAGGUUAAUUGGACACUCAGCUGGAGGAUGAGCAUCGAGCCAGGCUGCACCCCCACCCCAGCUGCUGCUUCACCACUGAGCUCCAAUCUCCAGGAGAACCCCUCUUCCAUGUAGUGGUUUCCACAGACCAGCCCGUCCCCUUUUCAAUACAGAGACUUGUUUCACAUAAGACUGACGGACAAAGAGCAUGUGAGAAAACGACUGUGCUCUACCGUGCGAUGGGUUCCUCCCUUAUUUAUUACGUGUGUAUGUAUAUUUUCUAUAAAGCGUUAUGUUGUUGAUGAAUGUUCGGUGUGGUUGUUGCUAGAACGGAACAAGAAAUACUCAUAGCCUACAUGUUACACACAAAAAGUCCACUUUGAAGGCGCGUACAUACCUGAGGACGGUUGCUGUAAGGUUGAUGAAAUCGCUUCAUUACUGGUGAAAUGUGCCGUCUAAGUUUUCAUUUUUCAACUGAACCAAAGAGUGGUGUCAUGACAUCUCUCCCUCCUGUGCAGUGUCACAGCUCAGAAUAUACUAUACUCAUAAACUAUAGAUAUAUGAUGGGUCGCCCGCAUGACCUGCUUGUUUGAUUGCUUGAUUUGUUAAGUGCAUCUUAGUAUUUUCAUCAGUAAUUUUCCAUCCUUUUAUUUGGCUGCACUCAUAGAUACAAGAGCUAUCUGUGUGUUUUUUUGUGUGAGUCUUAAAUCUGAGUAAGAAACAAGCUCAUUAGCCUCAGUUUGUUGCCAGUGGUUCCAGAGAAAAACGUCUCUUAAACUGUGCCAACUUAUUGUCCUGUAAGCAUCCGUGCAGGCUAGCUAGCUAGCUUGUUUAUUGUCAGUUCGCAGGCCAGCUAGCAAGCUAGCCAGCAACAAGAGCUCCAUUGUGACUGGCUAGUACUACCGUGUAUUUCAUGAACACGUGGUUUUAUUUUUGACAUAAAAAUAAUUUACUAUGAUGCAGCUCUCCUUGUAUUUUAAAUUUAUUAUUGGACCCAAAAGCCCAAAUUAUGAUAGAGUUUAUGUUGUGCAUUGGAAAAAGUCUUCCAGCUCACGGCUAAGAGGCUGUUCCUGGCUUCAGGUCCAUCGCUGUAGUGGCUCUUAAGCCGUCAUGUGGAGAACUACUUUCUUCAAUAGCCGCUCAUUUUCUUUGGCUACAAAAUUGUGUGACACAGGCUGGAAAGUUCUGUGUAAACGCGUCUGUAGCUAGUUAGCUGUUAGCUGACUCUCCAAUAUGACAAAUGCCGUGGACUGCAGCCAAUCAGAUUCCUCGUGUCUCUGCAGCAGCUCCGCCCCUGAGAAAUGGUCAUAAAACUACAUCUGUAAUCUGCAGCUUUUAUACUGCAAGGCCUGAAAAAGAAGAAAAAGGCCAGACGAGCUAGGCGAUGUGAUGGUGGCGUUUAGUGGAACAUGACAGGGACGAGUCUCAGAAUUGCUUCAGUAUUGUUUUUUUUUCAUGAUGAGGGAUGUCAGGAAAUGUUUUAUUUCGCCGCAGCUCAUGUUGUUUCCUGUUUGCUGGAAGUGUUUCCCACCGCUUUCCCUUCCUGCCAGUCUAUCACCGCCAAACCAGCACAUGCCUCCGUGUUGUUGUCAUCUCCCACACAGGGUAAUAGCUGUGCCCUUUUAUCUAAUGCGACUGGUGCGAUGCUUCUCUGACAUGCCUUCCUGUUGCCAUCAUUACACACACAGUUAUAGCUGCGCCCUUUCUAGCCACUGUCCAAUUUCUUGUUUCAACGUGAGAUCUAUUUUCAUACCUCGAAAAGAUACAUUCCAUUAAAAAAAUGAAAGCAG